UACGAAGGGGGCUAGCGUUGUUCGGAAUCACUGGGCGUAAAGCGCACGUAGGCGGUUUUGUAAGUCAGGGGUGAAAUCCCGGGGCUCAACCUCGGAACUGCCUUUGAUACUGCAAAUCUCGAGUCCGGAAGAGGUGAGUGGAAUUCCUAGUGUAGAGGUGAAAUUCGUAGAUAUUAGGAAGAACACCAGUGGCGAAGGCGGCUCACUGGUCCGGUACUGACGCUGAGGUGCGAAAGCGUGGGGAGCAAACAGG
rnacentral:rRNA from 1 species